CCACACUCCGUAUCUAGCUAAUCUGGUAGGGACGUGGAGAACCUUUGUGUCUGGCUCAGGGAUUGUAAACACACCAAUCAGCGCCCUAUCAAAACAGACCACUGGGCUCUACCAAUCAGCAGGAUGUGGGUGAGGCCGGAUAAGAGAAUAAAAGCAGGCUGCCCCAGCUAGCAGUGGCAACCUGCUCGGGUCCCCUGCCACACUAUGGAAGCUUUGUUCUUUUGCUCUUUGCAAUAAAUCUUGCUACUGCUUACUCUUUGGGUCCACACUGCCUUCAUGAGCUGUAACACUCACCGGGAAGGUCUGCAACUUCACUCCUGAGCCAGCGAGACCACGAGCCCACUGGAAGGAACAAACUCCCGCACGCCGCCUUUAAGAACUGUAACACUCACAGAGAGGGCCCGCGGCUUCAUUCCCGAAGUCAGUGAGACCAAGAACCAACCAAUUCCGGGCACGGGAUCAAUUGGGAUUAGAAUUUUAUCCUACUGCUAAAACAUAAAGCAAAAAGGCCAAAAGUGAUCUCACCUUUUCAGAGAAACGCACUUAAAUAGCAGCAGCAGGUGCCUCUCUUUUCUGAGCUUCCCUUCACCUGAAUGUGGUUCUGGUACUUAAAGUUUCUUUUUCUGCAUCCGCUGCUCUGUUAAGUGAUCACCACAUUCAUUGUUCUCGUUUCUAUUAUUUCUGAAAAAAAUCUUCAGGAUUCUGCUUGUGGGAGUGGAUGACAUUUUUACAGUGUUUACAGACACAAAAUGAACAAGAUGUCUGUGGCAACCCUCAGACCAUUGACGCCUUCUCUCCUAUGUAUCAAAUCACACAUUUGGACGUUGACUGAACCCUCACAUGUCAGAUGCUCAAUAUUGAGGUAUAGUAAAAGGGAGCAUGAACUUGAGAAAAUACGCUUUCAACACAAAGCUGUAAUAAUAUAAGGUCAAAUAAGAUUCUGCAUUGGAGAUAGAAAACUCUGAAGGAAGCUUUAUCUAUUCCAGAAUGUCAUAUAGCUGGUAUAAGGUUGUCUUCAUUCAUUUCCACAGUUUCUCUGGAGGUUCCAACAAGAUACGGUCUCCAUUGCCCAUUGCUCUGGACCCCAGCCAUCACCCAGUGCAGCAGUGAUGCCUUAUGACAAGUCAGCACCUGGUCUGAACUCUGCUCUCUUUGCACUGAAUUCUUUGAGUUUUUAUUCCAAGUUCAGUCAUUGGUUUUAGUAUUGGUUCCCAUCUGCUUGGCAUCCUUGGUGGAAUUGGGCUUCUUUUUUCAAUUUCUUUUUGCUGUCUUUUUGUUUUACUGUGUUGAGUAGUGCUAUCUAAAUGUGUUUAUCAUAAAAGAAGCAGCACAUGAUCAUAGGCCCAUGAGCCUGUUUUUCAAGCCAGCCAAACAGCACAUUUAGUUUGACAUUCACACUGGACCUCUGUCCAUUUUUAUAAACUUCGCUUUGGGUCAUCAAUAAAACUAAAUGAAGUUCUCUCUUG
rnacentral:lncRNA from 1 species